AUUGAACGCUGGCGGCAUGCCUUACACAUGCAAGUCGAACGGCAUCGCGGGAAAGCUUGCUUUCCUGGCGGCGAGUGGCGGACGGGUGAGUAACACAUCGGAACGUACCGGCUAGUGGGGGAUAACCCGUCGAAAGACGGGCUAAUACCGCAUACGCUCUUCGGAGGAAAGCAGGGGACCUUUGGGCCUUGCGCUAGUCGAGCGGCCGAUGUCCGAUUAGCUAGUUGGUGGGGUAAAGGCCUACCAAGGCGACGAUCGGUAGCGGGUCUGAGAGGACGAUCCGCCACACUGGGACUGAGACACGGCCCAGACUCCUACGGGAGGCAGCAGGGGGGAAUCUUGGACAAUGGGGGCAACCCUGAUCCAGCAAUGCCGCGUGGGUGAAGAAGGCCUUCGGGUUGUAAAGCCCUUUCGGCAGGGAAGAAAUCGGCGGGGCGAAUAACCCUGCUGGAUGACGGUACCUGCAGAAGAAGCACCGGCUAACUACGU
rnacentral:rRNA from 1 species